ACACUAUGGUCUUUCACCGUUGGUCCCUGACAGUGAGGUGGGGAAUGGGGGUGGGGAGCCCUACCAAAUGAGACUAGUGCAAUUUUGCCUGCCUUUUUGAGGAUAAUUUUGAAGAAAAACUUUGCCUUGUCAGGCAUGUUGUAGUUUAUUCAAGGUGACAAAAAAAAAUUAUUGGGAAGACAGAAGUGGUCAGAUCACUUGAGGGCAGAAGUUUGAGACCAGCCUGGACAACAUGGCAAAACCCCGUCUCUACUAAAAAUACAAAAAUUAGCCAGGUGUGAUGGCACAUGCCUGCAAUGCCAGCUACUCUGGAGGCUGAGGUAUGAGAAUUGCUUGAACACAGGAGGCAGAGGUUGCAGUGAGCAGAGACUGUCACUGCAUUCUAGCCUGGGUGACAAAGCAAGACUCUUUCUAAAACUAAAACAAAAACAAAAACUUUUUUGGGAUCUUCUCACCAGGAAAAUGGAGGGCCCCCCCUUACAUUUCAACUUAAUAUUACACACACACACACACACACACAUACACACACCCCUCAGCUUAAUUGAGAUAUAAUUCACAUAUCAUAAAAUUUAUCUUUAUAAUGUGCACAAUUCAGUGGUUUUCAGUAUAUUUACAGAGCUGUGCAACCAUCACUCGUUAUCUAAUUUUAGAACACUUCAUCACCCCCAAAGAAACCCCAAAUCCUUGGCAGUCUCUCCCCUAUUUCCUCCAAUUCCCGCUAGUCUACUUUCUGUCUCCGUGGAUUUGACUAUUCCGGACAUUUCAUAUAAAUGGAAUCAUA
rnacentral:lncRNA from 10 species